rnacentral:rRNA from 1 species
CCUUUGACGUUAGCGGCGGACGGGUGAGUAACACGUGGGUAACCUACCUAUAAGACUGGGAUAACUUCGGGAAACCGGAGCUAAUACCGGAUAAUAUUUCGAACCGCAUGGUUCGAUAGUGAAAGGUGGUUUUGCUAUCACUUAUAGAUGGACCCGCGCCGUAUUAGCUAGUUGGUAAGGUAACGGCUUACCAAGGCGACGAUACGUAGCCGACCUGAGAGGGUGAUCGGCCACACUGGAACUGAGACACGGUCCAGACUCCUACGGGAGGCCAGCAGCC